rnacentral:rRNA from 1 species
UCUUGGAAGCUAAGCAAUGUCGGGCCUGGUUAGUACUUGGAUGGGAGACCACCUAGGAAGACCAGGUGCUGUAGGCA